rnacentral:rRNA from 1 species
GGAGUUAGCCGGUGCUUCUUCUGUGAGUGAUGUCCUUCCUGCCGGCUAUUAACCCGCAGGCCUUCUUCCUCACUGAAAGUGCUUUACAACCCGAAGGCCUUCUUCACACACGCGGCAUGGCUGGAUCAGGGUUGCCCCCAUUGUCCAAUAUUCCCCACUGCUGCCUCCCGUAGGAGUCUGGGCCGUGUCUCAGUCCCAGUGUGGCUGAUCAUCCUCUCAGACCAGCUACGGAUCGUCGCCUUGGUGAGCCGUUACCUCACCAACCAGCUAAUCCGACAUAGGCUCAUCCGAUAGCGCGAGGCCCGAAGGUCCCCCGCUUUCCCCCGUAGGGCGUACUGCGGUAUUAGCCUGGGUUUCCCCAGGUUAUCCCCCACUACCCGGGCAGAUUCCUAUGCAUUACUCACCCGUCCGCCGCUCGCCACCAGGGAGCAAGCUCCCCGUGCUGCCGCUCGACUUGCAUGUGUUAGGCCUGCCGCCAGCGUUCAAUCUGAGCCAGGAUCAAACUCUGA